UACGGAGGGAGCGAGCGUUAUUCGGAAAUACUGGGCGUAAAGCGCGCGUAGGCGGUAUCAUAAGUCAGAGGUGAAAUCCCAGGGCUCAACCUUGGAACUGCCUUUGAAACUGUGGCACUAGAAUCUUGGAGAGGUCAGUAGAAUUCCGAGUGUAGAGGUGAAAUUCGUAGAUAUUCGGAAGAACACCAGUGGCGAAGGCGACUGACUGGACAAGUAUUGACGCUGAGGUGCGAAAGCGUGGGGAGCAAACAGG
rnacentral:rRNA from 1 species